UGUAAAAUGAGUAGAGUGAAUUUUGGCAGCCUUUGGAGCCUUUUUUUAAAUGGCUAAAGCCUUACAAUCCCUCUCCCAACAAUUAGAAUAAUCGUGGGAAGCAAUGUGGGGAAGAAAGGUAAUAGUUGAUCUUUUUCUUAACACCCUAUGUUAUUUCCCAACGCACAGAAGAUAUAUCAAUUGGUACCACGACGCACAGUCAUGGUUGCACUUCCCACCAUGCAUUUGGGCAGAAGUUAAAUGGCUACAGUAUCAUUUACCGAAAGCUCAACAAAUACACUAGAUGGCAAUAUUUAGUCACAAUUAGGCUCGAGCGUAUGACGUGGCACUCGCGAGGUUUCCGCCGCUAUCGCCAUUGUGGAAGCGAGAAACAUAAACUGAGGCAUUUCAACACAGGUCGCUCUUUAAAAAUGGUUGGAAAUUAUUGUGCGGUAAAGAAUUGCAACAACCGAUCGAAUAGAAAGGAGAAUGUACAGUUCGACGGAACACCAUUGAGUUUCUUCCGGAUCCCUACAUGGAGAAAAGGCGAGGGAAAGCUCAUAUCUGAACUUACCAAACGUCGAAGAAUGGCAUGGGUGGCCUCGAUCAGAAGGAAGGGCAUAACGUUUGAUUCUCCAGUUACACACUGAGUUUGCUCUAUGCACUUCCACUCCGGACUCUGUGCCACGUCAGCACUAUCAGGACCAGGAAUGGGGACCCGUCGUGUCGGGGUCGGAGGAUCAGCUGUCGUUUUCCUCAGCGCCACCGAGGAAGGUUUGGGUGAGACCGGUGGUUUCAGACUCUUCCUGGCCUCCAUCCACUCACAGCUCUCUUGAGUCUUCUCUGACCUCUCAGAUGCCUCCGAUACAGGUCUCCGCCUCAGCACCACGCCGCCGUUCUGCUGCCGGCUGCCUUCACCCGGACUUUUGGAAGAGUCUGUUUGUUUAUUUCUUGUCUGGACAACGCCUUCCGAUGGCUCGGCUACGCGCUGCCUCCGACGUAAGGUGUCAGAGCCGGUCGUCAUGGUGACGACCGUGGGAGUCGCGGGCGCUUCGGGGUCAGUCGAAGGAGGGCGAGGUUUCCUUCGGAGUGUCGCCGAGCCAUCUGAGAUCUCCGUGGCAGAGGAGACGACGGUAGAUCGGGGUCGUGGUUCUGGACGUUGCCGAGGAGCCUCCUCGGGUCCGCUGACGGUCCUGCGUCGAUUCAGGACGUCGUCAUCCUCCGAUCCGAGACCGCCUGAGCCGGCCUGGCGUCGGAGUGUGGGAGGGCUGACCUGGAAAGGAUACGAUCGAAUUUGCAGUGCCAAGACAACGGGCAGAUAAGGGCAGAACAGAUACAGGAUGGUUUCUGACCAUGGAAGCCCAACGCGCGCGUCAUGCAGCUGACUGAGCAAGACUGACGCUGACAAGUAGGUGAUGGACAAGAUAUCUACAAGCCCACGUCUGCACCACCAAAUCCCACAAUCAGCUCUUCUGGACAGUCCAGAACAAAUGGCGGGACAUCUUGUCUUGCCACAAGGAACAUCUGAUACGGAGGAACUCGCGAACGAGAAGUGAACACUUAGCACUCACGUGGCAUUGGGGAUGGCAAAAUCCUUAACUCUCGUUGCCCUGACAACAGUAACGCCCGAAUCCUCCUGUCCAAUCAACAACAAACAAUAAUCCUAAACAACGGCCAAACUAGUGCUGCAACGAUUAAUCGAUUAACUCGAGUAUUCGAUUACAAAAAAAAGAUUUGAAUUAAAUUUUUCUGCUUCAAGUAGUCGUUUAAUUAACGUGGUGUUGUAAUGGUUUGUUUUGAAAGUGUUUGCAUUAAGUUUUAUUGAUUUGGGUGGAUAAACUGCCCUCUAGUCUGCCUCAUUUCACGUGGCUGAAUCUAGCUGCUCCUUGUUAAGAUCAACAUAAGCUAAUUUUUGUUUGAGCUAAUGUUUUUUUUUAAUGCAUUCAUAAAGUACUUUAUAGGUAUAUUUAGCCGUUUUUGUGGGAAUAUGUGUCUGAACCAUUUGUUAAGUGCACUGUAAAAAAAAAAAAAAAUUGUAGUAUUUAAGCCAGUGGACUUUAGCCAAUUCUUCUUUUGUUGUACGUAGACCCUUUUUUUUUUUUAAUACCUUUUAAUACCGUUUGAGGCUCAGCUCAGGUAUUGUUUUUAUGUUCCUUAUCUGAUUACUCGAUUAUUCGAACUAACUAGUUCAUCAAUUAAUCGACGACUAAAAUAAUCGAUAGCUGCAGCCUUAGCCCAAACACACCCUACUUUCGGACCACAGCCCACCUCGCCAGAGCAUUUAAAAGACAGAAUGUUGAACUAAUCGUUGUCAUUUUUCUUGGGAAUCUUUUGUUGACUUGUGAUAUGGUGACCCUGGAUCCAGUUUGCCUCCUCGCCUGGUUCUCUCUGUGCUGUAUGAUUGCUGUCGACUUGGAAUAAAUUGUUAAGUUGUGUUUUCCAGCUUUUAAAAUGGAGUCAGUACAAGGGGUUAAGACUAAGGUGAACGCACGGAGUUUUGCCGGGUUGUCGGGACACCGCCGACCUGGGUCGUUGGAAUUGCGCUAGCGCGAUUCCAGCAGUUCGGCUGGCAUGAUUCUGGCAAUCUGGCUGAAAGGUCAGAUUCCUUCAGUAAGAUGAGAAAUAAAUUCAUGACUAAAUCCCCCAAUUGGCGUACGGACACUAGGAUUAUCUCAUUCACUGCCAUUGACAAGAAUACUUAAUUGAACUUUACAAGUAUACACAUCUGUAUGUAAAAUGUUUACCAGGAAUUUAAGAGGACACCGAGUCACCGUGCUAAAUGCUAAUGCUACCGUGAACGUUAUGCUAAGCGAACGCUAUGCUAAUGCUACAAGUUAGUGUAGUGAGUGAUGAUCACUUAGCACAGACCUUUAAAGGCUAAAGCAACAUGGCAUAUCCAGCCAAUAGAAGAAAGCAAAACCUAUUUCACAAAAUGAACAUGGAAUGGGCACAGGCUUACU